rnacentral:lncRNA from 1 species
GUCAUGCUAGCAAAACCACCAGCCAUGAUAGUGGAAACAAGGUCUGAUCCACAAGCCACAAGUAUAUAAUCUAACCUAAGUUCCUUAAGUCAACCAACCAUACAACAUCAACAAAACUAAACUCAUAGCAUCCAAAUCAUCCUUUGCAAGUUCUUGCUGCUACACUACCAUAGCAGGUCCACUUCUGCAGAAAUUCCAAUCCAUGAGAUGCACAUGCCAAAAGAAAUAACUUGCAAUCAACACCAACAUUG